rnacentral:rRNA from 1 species
UACGAAGGUCCCAAGCGUUGUUCGGAAUUACUGGGCGUAAAGCGUGCGUAGGCGGCGGGGUAAGUCAGAUGUGAAAUCCCGGAGCUCAACUCCGGAACUGCAUCCGAUACUGCCUUGCUAGAGUAAUGGAGGGGCAUCUGGAAUUCACGGUGUAGCAGUGAAAUGCGUGGAUAUCGUGAGGAACACUAGUGGCGAAGGCGAGAUGCUGGACAUUUACUGACGCUGAGGUACGAAGGCCAGGGUAGCGAAUGGG